AGAGUGAACGCUGGCGGCAGGCCUAACACAUGCAAGUCGAGCGGCAGCGCGGGUAGCAAUACCUGGCGGCGAGCGGCGCACGGGUGAGUAACACGUGAAUAAUCUACCUCCGAGUGGGGAAUAACUGAGAGAAAUCUUAGCUAAUACCGCAUAACACUUACGAGUCAAAGCAGCAAUGCGCUUGGAGAGGAGUUCGCGGCAGAUUAGUUAGUUGGCGGGGUAAUGGCCCACCAAGACGAUGAUCUGUA
rnacentral:rRNA from 1 species